rnacentral:rRNA from 1 species
GAUGAACGCUGGCGGCGUGCCUAAUACAUGCAAGUCGAGCGAACAGACGAGGAGCUUGCUCCUCUGACGUUAGCGGCGGACGGGUGAGUAACACGUGGAUAACCUACCUAUAAGACUGGGAUAACUUCGGGAAACCGGAGCUAAUACCGGAUAAUAUAUUGAACCGCAUGGUUCAAUAGUGAAAGACGGUUUUGCUGUCACUUAUAGAUGGAUCCGCGCCGCAUUAGCUAGUUGGUAAGGUAACGGCUUACCAAGGCAACGAUGCGUAGCCGACCUGAGAGAGUGAUCGGCAACACUGGAGCUGAGACACGGUCCAGACUCCUACGGGAGGCAGCAGUAGGGAAUCUUCCGCAAUGGGCGAAAGCCUGACGGAGCAACGCCGCGUGAGUGAUGAUGGUCUUCGGCUCGUAAAACUCUGUUAUUAGGGAAGAACAAAUGUGUAAGUAACUAUGCACGUCUUGACGGUACCUAAUCAGAAAGCCACGGCUAACUACGUG